CCUGAUUACAUACAGCAGAUGUACCGCUCAGGCUUGCGCCUUCUUCCUCCAAAAAACUUUCGCCUCUCCGCAGGGAGCGCUUGCAAAUCGCCGGGGUUCUCUGUCGGGGGACAGUCAACGAAUCUCUCCCCACCACCACCUUUUGGUAGCAAUUGCGAUGCGCCGCCCUAAUUCGCCGCACGAUUUCCCCAUCUGCCGGAAACAUGGGAAAAUAACCUAUUAAUGGAUUUCUGCAGCAACUUUGGCUCUCACUCAGCCUGAAAUACCAAUCAGAAUCUGAUUACAAACAGGUUCCUAAGAGCACAGGGCAGCAGACCCACAGGGUUCCCAGCUAGUGAUGUCAGAGACAUCUGAUGAAAACAAGCAACGGGAGCUGAAAUUCUCAAGACCCUUGGCUUCUUGACUCCCGGUUCUCUGACCCUCCGACUCUUGGCUUCCUGACUCCUGGCUUCUGGACUCCUGUUCCUGCUCCCAUCCCGCCAUCUUGCCCCCGGUCCCGACGUCACCAGCCAGAACUUCAAUCACCCAUGAACCAGACCGUGACAGCGAGAUCUUGCCAGAAACCAUUGCCUCUGCUGGUUUAGACGUCAGCAAUCAAGAGCAUUCUGAGUGAUUGUCCCUAAAUACAGCUUCCUUUCUGAAGAGGUUGGGAGAGAUGCAACUUCAUUAUCUUGCUGGAGGAGAGGUUGCAAGCCCUGCCUUUUCCGUUCUGGAUUUUGAUGAAGAAAUCAGUUUUUGUGUGUGGCUGCUUUCAUCUGUAGUGGCAUGUUGUUGAUGCUGCUUUUUUUGUCCUCCUAAAUGUAUUUUUCUUUUAUUUGACACAAGUUGCUUUGAACUGCUGGAACAGCAGCCUAGGAGAAGUUAACUCAAUAAAUGUACAAAACAGGAACAUACAAACAACAGGAUACAAAUCUGAUGUUUAAUGGAAAUGGAUUCUAUUGAGAGAUGCAGAACUGCUCGGGUUGGUCUUGUUGGUUGGCAGCCGUCUGUCUCAGGAGACAAUGACAGAAUGCACCUUUGGGGGUGAAAUCAAACCAUUGGAGAGUUACAUACCAAUAUGGGAGAGACAUAUUUUGUUGCAGCUGGGGCAGAUGAAGGUGUUUGGUUGUGUUGAUCCAGGUGUACUAUGGCGUUUCUUCUUUCUUUGCUCCUCCCAGUUGCCCUUCCUCCUCCAGGGUACUGCCCAUUCUCAUUAUGGUGGUGGUAUCUCAGUUUCUGUCCAUUAGGCAAGAAUGAGAUUCAAAAUGGAGUAAGGGGAAGCCAGCAGAGGGUGGCUGGGUGGCAGAGGGCUAAUCCACACUUACCUUUAUCCUGCCCUUUCCAGGCACUGCCUGAGACUGAAAGCUCCAUGUCUGAGUAUCUUUGUUUGUUUUCGUUUUUGCUCCUGAGCUUUCCCAGUGAAAACCUGCUCUUUAAAGCUCAAUCGGAACCAACGUCAAUCUGCUGGAAAUCCGAAUUGAUGGAAGUCACCUUCUGACACCACCUCCAGCUUUGAAGGAGCUGCUUUUUCAUCACUGUAUUUUCAGAAGUCAUUUUGGGCACCAGAAAAAAACACCCCAUGUGGUGCACAGAUGAGUUUAAACAAAUAACUGUGCAAUUAAAUGGAAAGGGCUGAUCACACAGGUCUUUCGCGUAGGUAAUUCUACAGAGAACCCCCUCCCUGACAUGUCCAUGUGCUGCAUCAUUCACACAGCUGGACAUCUGCAGGUGCAUGAUGGACAAAUGGAUCCUUCGUGGAUGAGGACAGCAUCUGAAAGGCUUUGCAAACAAGCCACACACUGGGCAUAGGAAAAACAGCAGGCAUUUGAAAGCUGAAAAAGAGAAGCAGCAGCAAAUAUGCGAAGUGGUUUCCAUGGUACAUAAUGUACUGUGGAUGGGCUAAUUGCUCACUUUCACCCAGGAAUUGCUGUCUGGGCAAUUUAUAAUUUUCUGGCUAGUUUUAAAAUGGCAAUAGCUCUCAUGUUAAGACUCCACAUGCGGCAUGCCUCCUGCUUUUAAUGGAGAUGUUCUGCAUAGUCUACCUUUUGUGGAGUGCCAGCCUUGCUAGGGACUAGAGUUGAUAAGGACCUGAGGCUUUUGGGAUCCAAUUUAGGUACACCAGCCUUCCCUGUUUUGCGUUAGACACAGGCAGCUCAUAGGUACCACCUCUUUAAUCCUCUACCUCAGGCAGGAGAUAUAGAAGAUAUAGAAGUAUCAGCCAUACCAACAGGCUAAA